rnacentral:rRNA from 1 species
AUUGAACGCUGGCGGCAGGCCUCACACAUGCAAGUCGAACGCGUGGCGGACGGGUGAGUAAUGUCUGGGAAACUGCCCGAUGGAGGGGGAUAACUACUGGAAACGGUAGCUAAUACCGCAUACCAUCGGAUGUGCCCAGAUGGUAUUAGCUUGUAGGUGAGGUAACGGCUGACAUAGGCGACGAUCCCUAGCUGGUCUGAUAGGAUGACCAUCCAAACUGAAACUGAGAAACGGUCCAGACUCCGACGGGAUGAAGCAGUGGGGAAUAUUGCACAAUGGGCGCAAGGCUGAUGCAGCCAUGCCGCGGGUAGGAAUAAGGACUUCGGGUUGUAUAGUACUUUCAGCGGGGAGGAGUUACCAGCAGAAGAUGCACCGGCUAACUCCGGGCCAGCAUCCGCGGUAAGAC